AUGCUCACGGCGACAAACUACAUCGAGUGGGCGCUUGUCAUGCAGGUCCAGAUGGAGGCCGCGGCACUUUGGGACGCGGUCGAAGGGAAGGAGACAGCCACCUUCCGCGACGACAAGUACGCCAUGGCCGCCAUCCUCCGUGGCCUGCCGCCUGAGAUGGUCGGGUCCAUCGUCGUCAAACGAUCGGUGAAGGAGGCCUGGGAGGCCAUCCGCACCAUGCGGGUGGGCACGGGCCGGGUACGCAAGGCCACCGCUCAGAAGCUCCGAAAGGACUUCGAAAACCUCGCCUUCAAGGAGGGCGAGACCAUCGACGCGUUCACCAUGCGCGCCACCACCCUCGUCAACAACUUGCGCACGCUCGGCGACACCGUCGACGACGAGAAGGUUGUCCGUAAGUUUCUCCGCGUCAUUCCAAAGAAGUACUCCCAGGUCGCCAUUGCCAUCGAGACCCUCCUCGACGUCAGCACGCUGUCGCUUGAGGAGGUGACCGGGCGCUUUCGCUCGGUUGAGGAGCGCCUGGAGGAAGAAGAUAGCGCGGGAGGAACUCGCCUGCUCCUCACUAAGGAGGAGUGGGAAGCGCGAUGCAAGCAGCGCGGCGAGGGCCAGUCCAGCAAUGGGCAGCAGAAGGGCAAGAACCAGAACCGCGGUGGGCGCGGACAGCAGAAGGGCAAGAACCAGGCUGGCGCGCCGCCCCGCAACGGCGGGCGCCUGGCCACCCGCGACGACAAGUGCCGCUACUGCAACAAAAACGGGCACUGGGCGCGUGACUAUCGCAAGAAGCAGCGCGACGAGGACAACAUCGCGCGGGUGGACGAGGAAGAAGGAGAAGGGAGUCUCCUGAUGGCGCACAUCGUCUCCCUCAGCUCCGAC
rnacentral:rRNA from 1 species